GAAAGAAGAAAGCUAACCAGAUGGAGAAUGAUUUGAUUAACAUUUAAAACCAAAUCCAAGAAAAGAUAAAACCUAGAGCUCGGGAAGCUAGCGUCAGAUACAACAAGAGCCGAUACUACAGCACUACAGUUACUGCUCAAGUCAAGGGUCUCACACAAACGGGAGAUAAGGCGGCGAGUGGUGCGAAACUUCACUUCUAACAACUACUCGCAUAAACAUCCGUCGGUAGUAUUUAGGGCGAAGGACGAUACAAACACACGUACAAACUAAAAACAGAAGCGUUUGAUAUGAAUAUCUGAAGCAUAUGUUCACCGGACUGCAGUCAUUUUAAGGUUAGUUUGAACAUAUCUGAAUUACCCUAACAGUAACUAAAAAUAUGAAACAAGACAUUGAUAUAACCGAACAGUUUGCGAAUCUGUCCGUUCGUAAAAGUGAAGAAACCGUACACGUCUUGGAGAAAAAGACAUACGAAGAUUUUGAAAGGAUACAAAAUAGACUAUUGGGACUACCAAAGGAUAUGGAGCGCAGUGCUUCGUUCACCUACAAAAAAGGAUCGCGUAAAGGAGGACGUUAUGCCGCUUCAAGAGCAAGACGAUCAGAUCGACGUCAUACUGUUAUUGUUGGGGAAGAGGCAAAACAAAUCCAACAGAAUUAUGACUAUGACACAAACACUCUUACAAUUCCAUCUGGAUCAUUACACACCAAUGCAUAUUCCGAAUCAGAACUUACCCUAUAUAGGGUGCGAAGUUUCAAAAAGACAUCACGGGGUAUAAAAAACAGAGGAGACAGUUUCAAAGUGAAGUCGACCAGUAAUAUAAGCGUGGCAUCUUUAGAUUCCGGCCACCAUGAAGAUAUUUCACGCAAAAACAGCAGUAAUUCCGACGGUUUAGACUUGGAGAACGAUUUAGACAGUCCAUAUAAGGUGCUAUUAUUGGGAACACAAGAAACAGGCAAAUCAGCACUUGCUCAACAAUUCAUGACGUCAGAGUACAUGGGGGACUGUGAUUCCUUACUAGGUGAGACUAGCGUAAGGACGGUGUCUGUUUUACUCAAUGGAGAAGAAUCGUCCAUGCAAUUCUUCGAACUUGAAACAGAAGAGGAUCACGCAGACUAUUGUGACGUUGAUGGUUACAUCGUAGUGUAUUCAGUGACCGAUAGGAGGAGCUUUACAACAGCUUGUGACCUGGUAAAAGAUCUAAGAGAAGUACUUCAGAAACAAUCUGCUAUUACCCUCGUGGGUAACAAAAGUGACAUCGUCCGACAGAGACAGAUAAGCGAUACAGAUGGAAUGGAAUUCGCCAAAUCGUACGGGUGCAAGUUCAUUGAAACGUCAGCCGUGUUGAACCAUAACAUUGACGAACUUUUAGUGGAAACAUUAUCCAACAUUAGACAUGUCUACAAGACACUUGCUAAGCAAAGUCGUCGAACAAUAGGCGAUGCAGCAAAAGGACUAAUCAAACGAGUAUUUAAAUCUCGAGGACUCACAAAAUCUCGUUCGAUGGAGACGUUGUGUUUAAAGCGUCAUUAAACGUAUAAACUCUCAAACCAGAGACAUCUUAACAUGUUAUUAUGUCUCUGCUCAAAUAUAAACAGCAUAUAUGGUUAUAUUAUAUAUUACUUGGCUAAUGGUGCAAAUAUUGAAUAACUUGCC
rnacentral:misc_RNA from 1 species